rnacentral:rRNA from 1 species
UGACCUGCCCGGUGAAUACAUUAAACGGCCGCGGUAUUUUGACCGUGCGAAGGUAGCAUAAUCAAUUGUCUUAUAAUUGAAGACUGGAAUGAAUGGUUGAACGAAAUUAAAACUGUUUCAUUUGUAUUAAUUAGAAAUUGGUUUUUAAAUGAAGAGAUUUAAAUUUAAUUAAUAGACAAGAAGACCCUAUUGAGCUUUAAAUAAUUUUAAAAUUAAAAAUUUAUUAUUAGAGAUUUAAAGUUUUAA